rnacentral:rRNA from 1 species
AAGGCUUACGGAGGAUGCCUUGGUGCCAGGUGCCGAAGAAGGACGUGGGUCACUGCGAAAAGCUGCGGGGAGCCGUGAACAGGCGGAGAUCCGCAGGUAUCCGAAUGGGGAAACCCGGUGGAGCGAACCUCCAUCAUCCUCUGCUGAACACAUAGGCAGAGAGAAGGGAACCCGGGGAACUGAAACAUCUAAGUACCCGGAGGAAAAGAAAGGAUUUCCCGAGUAGUGGCGAGCGAAAGGGAAAGAGCCCAAACCGGGCUGGGAACAGUCCGGGGUUGAAGGGCCGGUAAGAAGGGACGUAGAGUUAGUGGAAAGGUGUGGGACAGCCUGCCAGAGAGGGUAAGAGCCCCGUACACGAAAACGAAGCGUUCCGAGCCGGAACCCUGAGUACUGCCGGGCACGCUAAUCCGGCAGGAAGCUGGGGGGUCCACCCUCCAAGGCUAAAUACACCUGGCGACCGACAGAGGACAAGUACCGUGAGGGAAAGGUGAAAAGUACCCCGGUGAGGGGAGUGAAAUAGAACCUGAAACCGUAAGCUGACAAGCAGUUGGAGGGCUAAUGGUGUGAUGGUGCUCUGCAGAGAUGCAGGUGCGCAGCGCCAGGCCUGACAGCGUGCCUCUUGGAGAAUGAGCCUGCGAGUUAAUCCUUGUAGCGAGGUUAAGGGAGAGACACCCGGAGCCGUAGCGAAAGCGAGUCUGAAGAGGGCGAAGAGUUGCAAGGAUUAGACACGAAACCAGGUGAGCUACCCAUGGCCAGGGUGAAGCGGGUGUAACGACCUGUGGAGGCCCGGACCUACUAAUGUUGCAAAAUUAGGGGAUGAGCUGUGGGUAGAGGUGAUAUGCCAAACGAACCUGGAGAUAGCUUGUUCUCCCCGAAAUAGCUAUAGGGCUAGCGCCUCCUGUUGAACUGUGGAGGUAGAGCACUGAAUGAGAGAGGGGGCUUAGAGCUUACCGAACUCAAACAAACUCCGAAUGCCACAGUUGGAGAGGGAGGUAGUCGGACUACGGGUGAUGAGAUUCGUGGUCGAGAGGGAAACAGCCCAGACCAUCGGCUAAGGUCCCGAAAUACAGACUAAGUGGGAAACGAUGUGGAGUUACCGAGACAACCAGGAGGUUGGCUUAGAAGCAGCCAUCCUUGAAAGAGUGCGUAAUAGCUCACUGGUUCAGUGAUUCUGCGCGGAAAACUUAACGGGGCUAAGUCUGAUACCGAAGCCAUGGAUCUGCUACUGAAGAGGUAGUGGAUGGUAGGGGAGCGUUCCGCCAGCGGGGAAGGCAUACCGGAAGGAGUGCUGGAGCGGGCGGAAGUGAGAAUGCAGGCAUGAGUAGCGCAAAACACGUGAGAAGCGUGUUCACCGAAAAUCUAAGGUUUCCGACGGCAGGUCAAUCCGCGUCGGGUUAGUCAGGUCCUUAGGCGAGGCCGAAAGGCGUAGUCGAUGGGAAACCGGUCAACAAUCCGGUACCUGCCAACUGGAGUGAAGAGGGGACGCAGCAAGGGAAGCCAGCCCGCGAAUGGUGGUGCGGGUGCAUGAGGCGACAGGCGAAGAGGCCCGGAGGGAAAACCCUGGGCUGAGCUGAGGUCUCGUGGCGAGCCCCCGAGGCAUAAGUGAGCAGAACCUAGCUGCCGAGAAAAGCCUCUAAGCGAAGAGAGUUGGGAGCCUGUACCGCAAACCGACACAGGUAGAUGGGUAGAGAAUACCAAGGUGAACGGGAGAACCUUCGUCAAGGAACUAGGCAACAUGGCCCCGUAACUUCGGGAGAAGGGGUGCCAUACUGGGUGAUGAAAAGAGCCUGGUGUGGUCGCAGCGAAGCGGCUCUAGUGACUGGUUAACAAAACCACAGGUCUCUGCGAAGUCGAAAGACGACGUAUAGGGGCUGACGCCUGCCCAGUGCCGGAAGGUUAAGGGGAGGGGUAAGCCGCCCGAGAGGGAGGUGAAGCUCUGAACCGAAGCCCCGGUGAACGGCGGCCGUAACUAUAACGGUCCUAAGGUAGCGAAAUUCCUUGUCGGGUAAGUUCCGACCCGCACGAACGGCGUAACAACUAGAGCGGUGUCUCGACGAAGGGCCCGGCGAAAUUGAAAUGGCUGUGAAGAUGCGGCCUACCCGCAGCAGGACAAAAAGACCCCGUGGAGCUUUACUGCAACCUGUCAUUGAGUUUGGGCACGGUCUGUGUAGGAUAGGUGGGAGGCUGAGAAGCUGGAGCGCAAGCUUCGGUGGAGCCGCCGGUGAAAUACCACCCUGAUCGUGUUUAGACCCUAACCCCUGGCCCGAAGCGGGCAGGGGGACCGUGGCAGGCGGGCAGUUUGACUGGGGCGGUCGCCUCCUAAAGGGUAACGGAGGCGCCCAAAGGUUCCCUCAGGCAGAAUGGAAACCUGCCGGAGAGUGCAAAGGCAGAAGGGAGCUUGACUGCAAGACCAACGCGUCGAGCAGAGACGAAAGUCGGGCUUAGUGAUCCCACGUUUCUGAGUGGAAGGGACGUGGCUUACCGGACAAAAGCUACCCCGGGGAUAACAGGCUGGUGAAGUCCAAGAGUUCACAUCGACGACUUCGCUCGGCACCUCGAUGUCGGCUCAUCGCAUCCUGGGGCUGGACAAGGUCCCAAGGGUCGGGCUGUUCGCCCGUUAAAGCGGUACGCGAGCUGGGUUCAGACCGUCGUGAGACAGGUCGGUCUCUAUCCGCUGUGGGCGUAAGGGAUUUGAGAGGAGCUGCCCCUAGUACGAGAGGACCGGGGUGGACAGACCGCUAGUGUGCCAGUUGUCGUGCCAACGGCAGCGCUGGGUAGCUAAGUCUGGCAGAGAUAACCGCUGAAAGCAUCUAAGUGGGAAACUCGCCUCAAGAUAAGAUCCCUGGAUCCUGAAAAGGAGUAAGAUCGCUGGGAGACGACCAGCUAGAUAGGCGGCAUGUGGAAGUGCAGUAAUGCAUGGAGCUAAGCCGUACUAAUGAUCGAGGGCUUUGCGC